ACCCCGGUGUCCCCGGGGCCAAGGAGGGCCGCGAUCCUGCCCCCGAGCGGCCAGGCGGGCGCGGGACGCGCUCGGGGGUCCGUCGGGCCGGCUGCCGCUGCAGCGCCGGGGCCGGGCGCGGUGUCCGCGGUCCCGUGGAAAGCCUGGAAGCCGGCCGGGGUGGCGGCCGCGGCUUACGCCGGUGUCGUGGUUGGAGCCAAAAGCGGCACACCUCCUCUGGGAGCCCGCCCCAAGGAAAGGGCCGUGCGUUAGAAGUAGGGCUGCUCCGGCGUUCUUAGCUCUAAACGCGCCACGCGGGAGGACGAGGGCUCAGCAGCGGUUCAUCCAAUCGCUGUGCCACCGGCGUAGCAUUGCCGGUGAUGGCACCAGAUAGGGACAAGCACCCAUGUCCUAAAGCCUCAGCAUCUUGCUGCCUGCCGUAGCAGCAACCAGGCCACGGAACACUAACUCCGUCACACUUACCAAUAGUCACACAGGAGAUGAGAAAGCCAAGAUCAAAUGAACAGCGUCACCUGUGUAUGGGUACAGCUUAUCUACCAUUUGUAUGGUGGCAAUUCCAGUUAAUGGCUCAGCUUGAAUUUCCCCACAAGCAUGACUGCAAGAAGGGAAACUAGAGGAAGAGCUCUUCACUGCAAAGUAAAAAAAUCCCAGACAGCUCCUUUAAAAUGAAGUUCUUGCAUCAGGAGUUGAAAAACACCAGGAAGCAAAACAAAGCAGACUGCAGUGAAGACCCGUCUCUUCCCAGCACCUUACCGUCAGGAGGCAUAGCAGGCAAACUCCUGGGUCAGGCCAGUCAGUGGGGGAAAUUUGCAGGGUCCUUCUACUGACUUAAUCCAUCUCUUCUAGUUCUGUCAGACAGGACAGCAGCUCUGGGCUGGGAAAGCUCCUGCUUGUAAGAAUGCCAUGACAUUUUCUCCUCAUGGGGAGGGGAAAGAGUGCAAUAGUUUGUGUGGGAAGGACAGGGGGUUGCUAUUUUAAUUAUCCCACCUGCAAAGGUAUGUUGCUUGCUGUGUUCCUCCCACAUGGCUGGCUGCAAUCAAUCCUGUGCUCUACUCAAAUGCAGCCCAACCAAAAGUGAAGGAGAAAAGCAUUUA